rnacentral:lncRNA from 1 species
CGCCGAUCGGCGGCAACGCCAGGCCCGAGAGCAUCGCCGCUGGGACCGUUGGAAUCGGUAAAUUCGAGGGCAACAUGGCGUAAUGCGGAUUCGCACCCUCGCUCGGUGCUAUCGACUCUCUAUUGAUGGGGGAUUCGAUAUCGGCUCUAUCGACACCGGACUCAAACUACACGAGGACGAAUUUUGCUUCUUACAUGAUAAAUCCAACACCGGUAACUCCGCCAACUGAUCGCGCGAUGACCUCUUCGGCGUCGACGUGAAAUCCAACGCUUGCUCGUUCUCCAUCGUCGAGGGAAUGAAAUAUUUGCUCGAAAAAUCCGAUCGAAUCAGCGAUUCACUGGGACGAACGAAGUUAACAGAGAAGGAAUAAAAUGUCUGAGAAAAUGUUAGGCUCAGUUUUGAGGCAAAUGGAUUUCGAAUCGUGGCUACGUGACCGACGAUCCGAGAAUUCAAUGGAUUCAUCAGGAUUCUAUUCCAUAAUAACUGCGCACUCGUUUAAGUGCAAUUCUUCAUUCAUGUGCUGCUUCUAACAAUGAGCCGCUAAAAUCAGCAUUUAAAUAUGGUCAAAUAGGAAAACACUAAACGACUGAUCAACAGUUUUCGACAGUUCAUUGUGUUCCAACAAUUUAUACAUAUUGAUCACUAUUUUCUACGAGUAACUUGUUCCUUGUAUUUGUAUUCGUAGAAAGUGACAAAUAUUUCGAAAUCAUCGUUCAUUUGUCUAAAAAUGACAGAAAAACGCGCACAUAAGAAAUUGUCAAUGGUGUUCGAUGAUUUUGUAUACGAACAGACGUUCCCAUGCCUCUGAACGUACGAUUUUUUGCAACAUGGUCAACAACGGAAAAUUAGGAAAAAAAAUAAAUAGAAAAUAUUGUCAUAAAAAAGCGUAAAAAUCUUGGAGAAAAAGUGGCACAGAUUUAUUGAGUUUUGCAAUUAGGAUAAUCUUGUAUUAAUAUUAAAAAAUAAUAAUUGCUGCAGGAAAAGCGUGGAUUAUCGCCGGAUAAUUGCAGGUUUAAGCUUGUAUUUUCGGAUUAACAAAAAUGGAUAUUGAACAUGA